GAUGAACGCUGGCGGCGUGCCUAAUACAUGCAAGUCGAGCGAACGGACGAGAAGCUUGCUUCUCUGAUGUUAGCGGCGGACGGGUGAGUAACACGUGGAUAACCUACCUAUAAGACUGGGAUAACUUCGGGAAACCGGAGCUAAUACCGGAUAAUAUUUUGAACCGCAUGGUUCAAAAGUGAAAGACGGUCUUGCUGUCACUUAUAGAUGGAUCCGCGCUGCAUUAGCUAGUUGGUAAGGUAACGGCUUACCAAGGCAACGAUGCAUAGCCGACCUGAGAGGGUGAUCGGCCACACUGGAACUGAGACACGGUCCAGACUCCUACGGGGGGCAGCAGUUGGGAAUCUUCCGCAAAGGGCGAAAGCCUGACGGAGCAACGCCGCGUGAGUGAUGAAGGUCUUCGGAUCGUAAAACUCUGUUAUUAGGGAAGAACAUAUGUGUAAGUAACUGUGCACAUCUUGACGGUACCUAAUCAGAAAGUCACGGCUAACUACGUG
rnacentral:rRNA from 1 species